rnacentral:rRNA from 1 species
AUUGAACGCUGGCGGCAUGCUUUACACAUGCAAGUCGAACGGCAGCACGGGGGGCAACCCUGGUGGCGAGUGGGCGAACGGGUGAGUAAUAUAUCGGAACAUGUCCGGAAGUGGGGGAUAACGGUAGCGAAAAGUUACGCUAAAUACCGCAUACUGGACCCUGGAGGGGGAAAGGAGGGGGAUCGCAAGACCUUUUCGCUUUCGGAGUGGCCGAUAUCGGAUUAGCUAGUAGGUGAGGUAAAGGCUCACCUAGGCGACGAUCCGUAGCUGGUCUGAGAGGACGACCAGCCACACUGGGACUGAGACACGGCCCAGACACCUACGGGUGGCUG